rnacentral:misc_RNA from 1 species
GUGAAUCAUCAAAUUUUUGAACGCAUAUUGCACUCUCUGGGAUUCCGGAGAGUAUGCCUGUUUGAGGGUAAUUAAAAAGAAUCUUUAGCCAAUUUUUUUUGUUCUAAGGAUAUGAGCUCUACGCGUUUAUAGCGGUAUCUUUAAAUAAAUGAUUAAAUCUCAUUUUAGUCGAGACGCGUAAUAAUAUUAAUUCGCGAAAUCUUCAUUAUGUGACUAUCAAGUUUUGAUGCAUACAAAUUUGCUUUUUUUUGCAUAAAUACAAUUU